rnacentral:rRNA from 1 species
CAGAGGGUGCAAGCGUUAAUCGGAAUUACUGGGCGUAAAGCGUGCGUAGUCGGCCAUUUAAGUCGGGUGUGAAAUCCCCGGGCUCAACCUGGGAAUUGCAUUCGAUACUGGAUGGCUAGAGUUCGGCAGAGGGAAGCGGAAUUUCGGGUGUAGCGGUGAAAUGCGUAGAUAUCCGAAGGAACAUCAGUGGCGAAAGCGGCUUCCUGGACCAGAACUGACGAUCAGGCACGAAAGCGUGGGGAGCAAACAGGAUUAGAUACCCUGGUAGUCCACGCCAUAAACGAUGACAACUAGACGUUGGGAGGGUAAGCCUCUCAGUGUCGCAGCUAACGCGUUAAGUUGUCCGCCUGGGGAGUACGGCCGCAAGGUUG